rnacentral:rRNA from 1 species
AUUGAACGCUGGCGGAAUGCUUUACACAUGCAAGUCGAACGGCAGCACGGGGCAACCUGGUGGCGAGUGGCGAACGGGUGAGUAAUACAUCGGAACGUGCCCAAUCGUGGGGGAUAACGUAGCGAAAGUUACGCUAAUACCGCAUACGAUCUACGGAUGAAAGCGGGGGAUCGCAAGACCUCGCGCGAGUGGAGCGGCCGAUGUCAGAUUAGGUAGUUGGUGGGGUAAAGGCUCACCAAGCCAACGAUCUGUAGCUGGUCUGAGAGGACGACCAGCCACACUGGAACUGAGACACGGUCCAGACUCCUACGGAGGCAGCAGUGGGGAAUUUUGGACAAUGGGCGCAAGCCUGAUCCAGCCAUUCCGCGUGCAGG